GAUGAACGCUGGCGGCGUGCCUAAUACAUGCAAGUCGAGCGAACAGAUGAGGAGCUUGCUCCUCUGACGUUAGCGGCGGACGGGUGAGUAACACGUGGAUAACCUACCUAUAAGACUGGGAUAACUUCGGGAAACCGGAGCUAAUACCGGAUAAUAUAUUGAACCGCAUGGUUCAAUAGUGAAAGACGGUUUUGCUGUCACUAAUAGAUGGAUCCGCCCCGCAUUAGCUAGUUGGGAAGGUAACGGCUUACCAAGGCAACGAUGCGUAGCCGACCUGAGAGGGUGAUCGACCACACUGGAACUGGGACACGGAACAUAAUACUACGGGAGGCAGCAGUAGGGAAUCUUCCGCAAUGGGCGAAAGACUGACGGAGCAACGCCGCGUGAGUGAUGAAGGUCUUCGGAUCGUAAAACUCUGUUAUUAGGGAAGAACAAAUGUGUAAGUAACUAUGCACGUCUUGACGGUACCUAAUCAGAAAGCCACGGCUAACUACGUG
rnacentral:rRNA from 1 species